rnacentral:rRNA from 1 species
UACGGGGGGGGGCAAGCGUUGUUCGGAAUUACUGGGCGUAAAGGGCUCGUAGGCGGCCAACUAAGUCAGACGUGAAAUCCCCUCGGCUUAACCGGGGAACUGCAUCUGAUACUGGAUGGCUUGAGUUCGGGAGAGGGAUGCGGAAUUCCAGGUGUAGCGGUGAAAUGCGUAGAUAUCUGGAGGAACACCGGUGGCGAAGGCGGCAUCCUGGACCGACACUGACGCUGAGGAGCGAAAGCCAGGGGGAGCAAACGGG